UAGUAACGGCGAGUGAAGCGGCAACAGCUCAAAUUUGAAAUCUGGCUCUUUUAGAGUCCGAGUUGUAAUUUGCAGAGGGCGCUUUGGCGUUGGCAGCGGUCCAAGUUCUUUGGAACAGGACGUCACAGAGGGUGAGAAUCCCGUACGUGGUCGCUAUCCUUCGCCGUGUAAAGCCCCUUCGACGAGUCGAGUUGUUUGGGAAUGCAGCUCUAAAUGGGAGGUAAAUUUCUUCUAAAGCUAAAUACUGGCCAGAGACCGAUAGCGCACAAGUAGAGUGAUCGAAAGAUGAAAAGCACUUUGGAAAGAGAGUCAAAUAGCACGUGAAAUUGUUGAAAGGGAAGCGCUUGCAGCCAGACUUGCCUGUAGUUGCUUAUCCGGACUUUUGUCCGGUGCACUCUUCUAUAGGCAGGCCAGCAUCAGUUUAGGCGGUUAGAUAAAGGUCUCUGUCACGUACCUCUCUUCGGGGAGGCCUUAUAGGGGAGACGACAUGUAACCAGCUUAGACUGAGGUCCGCGCAUUUUGCUAGGAUGCUGGCGUAAUGGCUGUAAGCGGCCCGUCUUGAAACACGGACCAAGGAGUCUAACAUCUAUGCGAGUGUUUGGGUGUCAAGCCCAGACGCGUAAUGAAAGUGAACGGAGGUAGGAACCCUUUGGGUGCACUAUCGACCGAUCCUGAUGUCUUCGGAAGGAUUUGAGUAAGAGCAUGGCUGUUGGGACCCGAAAGAUGGUGAACUAUGCUUGAAUAGGGUGAAGCCAGAGGAAACUCUGGUGGAGGCUCGCAGCGGUUCUGACGUGCAAAUCGAUCGUCAAAUUUGGGCAUAGGGGCGAAAGACUAAUCG
rnacentral:rRNA from 1 species